GCCCAGGUAGCUUACACUUAGAGCAUAGCACUGAAGAUGCUAAGGUAGCGAGACACUCACGCUCCAGGGCA
rnacentral:tRNA from 1 species